UAUUUACUCCCUCAGGCCGAAAAAGCUUGUCCCAAACUUGUUUCUCAAAUGAAUGUAUCUAGCAGUAACUUGGUGCUAGAUACAUCCAUUUGAAGGACAAGCUUUCUCAGACUGAGGGAGUAAUUU
rfam:Triticum aestivum genome assembly, contig: Triticum_aestivum_CS42_TGACv1_scaffold_514389_6BS